UUGAUCAUUUCAGGGAUCAUUCCUAUACUGUGUUACUAGAGAAUUGUGGCAGAAAGUGUUGCAUGGAGAUAACCAGGAGGAGGAGCUGAGGUGUUCUCUUCUGAGAGAUGAAGCUGGCUUGUGGGAUUGCCCUUCAGUAGCUGCCCCCUGCCAUGACUGAUCGCUCUUCUCUCUCUUUGGGCUGGAUGUGGAUGAGAAUCAAAACUGAGGGGU